CGCACCUUGCACUCUUUGGUUAUUCCGAAGAGUAUGCUUGUUUGAGUGUCGCGAAAUUCUCAACCCCGCCAGAGGCUUUUUGACUCUGGUAGCCGGGCUUGGAUCAUGGCUAUUGUCGUUCCUCGGAUCUGACUUGGCUGAAAUACAACAAGCUGUAUCACCUUGAUAGUGCGGUUUGACCUGAUGUUGUAACUACCUCAUUGGGGACGCGCUGAGUUGAAGGAGCUCCAAUAACCCCCCUUUUUCACUUGCAAUAGUGCAUUAUGACCUCAAAUCAAGUAGGACUACCCGCUGAACUUAA
rnacentral:misc_RNA from 1 species